GACGAACGCUGGCGGCGUGCUUAACACAUGCAAGUCGAACGGAAAGGCCCUGCUUGCAGGGUGCUCGAGUGGCGAACGGGUGAGUAACACGUGGGUGAUCUGCCCCUUACUUUGGGAUAAGCCUGGGAAACUGGGUCUAAUACUGGAUAGGACCAUGCUGUAGGUGGUGUGGUGGAAAGAUUAGUUUCGGUAAGGGAUGAGCUCGCGGCCUAUCAGCUUGUUGGUGGGGUAAUGGCCUACCAAGGCGUCGACGGGUAGCCGGCCUGAGAGGGUGGACGGCCACAUUGGGACUGAGAUACGGCCCAGACUCCUACGGGAGGCAGCAGUGGGGAAUAUUGCACAAUGGGCGCGAGCCUGAUGCAGCGACGCCGCGGGGGGGAUGACGGCCUUCGGGUUGUAAACUCCUUUCAGCCAUGACGAAGCCCUUGUGGUGACGGUAGUGGUAGAAGAAGCACCGGCUAACUACGUG
rnacentral:rRNA from 1 species